AGCGGCAAGCAAGAACUUUUCUUUGCCCCUGGCUCCUCACCAUCUUGGCCAUAUAUUUGGAACAUGGUGGUUUACCUUUCGUCUUUUCACUUCUAAUUUUUCCAUUAAUCCUGGGGUUGAGACACUUCCCCCUCCUCCAGCUGAUUCAGUUCCACCAUUCGGCUAUUAUAAAUAAGUAGUUUUUCUGAACAGCAAACCCACCAAGCUCCAUCGGCUGCUAGAUCUCUAUCUCCCUCUUCCUCCAAGGAAAACCUUGCCAUCAUCUGCCAAGCAAUGGCCAGCCACAAGCGCAAGGAUGAAUGUCCUUCUGAUCAGCCAUCGGCUGUCCGUCGCCGCCUUGGCAACGACGAGGCUUCUAGUAUGCCACGCUGAUCCCCUUCUCCAGCACCAACAAGGCCCUUCUAUGGAAUGCUCCCGAUAUCGCAUAUAUGCCUGCCUAGCUGGGGGAGCCAAAUUCGGUAACUUACCUUCGGUAAGUGAUGGUGUGGGUGUGACAGGAGCCUCUAUAUCCGACGUCCAGAGCCCAUCCAACGAUCGCAACUUGUCCAGCUAAUCUCAUACCAUUGGUCGAUAGUUCUCACCAAGUAGUAAAAUCGAUUGCACAUGCCCCAUGGUCUCCUCUUCCCACAUGUGCUCUCAAUUUUAUUGGAGACGGCUUAGCUUUUUGGUAUCUGCUGCCGCUAUUAAGUCAUAUGUGAUUCUUUCUGCUGAUAGCGGAUAGUCCUCGGCAAUGGCGGUCUUGGUGCCUUUGCCUCGAGGACCGCAGGGUGCUCCGCUGCAUCUUCUUAUCCGGAAUCAGACGCAAGUAGACGGAUUUGUGGAAGAGAAGAAGAGGAUAAGAUUCAAGCUGUGAUAUCCUGUACUAAGGCCAUGGCCUCAAGGGAAGAACUGAGGAAGGAAUGGGAUUUAAUUCUAAAAAAUAAACUAGUCAAUACUAGUCCUGAUUGGUUCAUCAUGUUGAUUGUGGAUCUGAACAUAGAGGAUAGAGCGCAGCUGCUGUUCUGUUUAUGGAGAGUUUGGCACCUUAGAAAUAAUGCAGUUCAUGGCGAUGAUAAAGCUUCGGUUUGCGGAUCAGCUAGAUUUGUUGAAAGCUAUUGGAAGUCAUUGUUAGAGAUCCGACAUGGUAAGGAAAAUGAUAAGAAGGGCAAAGCACCAUUAGUCGAUAGUUAGAAGCAGGUGAAGGAACAAAAAUUUAAGCCUCCACUUGGACAAAAGGUGUGGACUAUGCCACCACAAGGUUGGACGAAACUGAAUGUGGAUGCUGCCUAUGACCAAUCUUCAGGAGAAGCAAACAUAGGAAUUGUGAUCAGAGAUUAUUCUGGAAAGGUGCUGCUAUCAGCUUGGAAGCAUGACAUUCGUUGCGCGUCAGUGGAGGAUACUGAAACUGUGAUCGAAUCUGAUUGUCAUAGUGUGGUAAAAUCAUGGCUUUUCGAUGAUGAAAACAGAGCGAGCUUCUCGAACAUUGUGAAAGAAAUAAAGUCUGCUAUGUCUGCAAUGCCAGAGGUAAAAGUGUGUAAAAUUGGAAGAGAAUGCAACAAGGUAUCCCAUGAGUUAGCCCAGCUAGCAAAAUGAUGCAUGCAUUCGGCGAUUUGGAGAGAUCAAUCUCCUUCCUUUGUCCACGAGCUUGUAAGCCUUGAUUGUAAACCUUUAUCAAAUUAAUGAAAUGCAAUCCUCCUUCUAAAAAAAAGAAAGAAAGGCGUGAAUA